GGUGGCUCAGCGGUAGAGUGCUUGCCUUGCAAGCAUGAGGCCCUGGGUUCGAUUCCUCAGUACCA
rnacentral:tRNA from 1 species